rnacentral:rRNA from 1 species
CCUACGGGAGGCAGCAGUGGGGAAUUUUGGACAAUGGGGGCAACCCUGAUCCAGCAAUGCCGCGUGAGUGAAGAAGGCCUUCGGGUUGUAAAGCUCUUUUGUCAGGGAAGAAACGGGUGGGGCUAAUAUCCUCAUCUAAUGACGGUACCUGAAGAAUAAGCACCGGCUAACUACGUGCCAGCAGCCGCGGUAAUACGUAGGGUGCAAGCGUUAAUCGGAAUUACUGGGCGUAAAGCGUGCGCAGGCGGUUAUGUAAGUCAGAUGUGAAAUCCCCGGGCUCAACCUGGGAACUGCAUUUGAGACUGCAUGGCUAGAGUGUGUCAGAGGGGGGUAGAAUUCCACGUGUAGCAGUGAAAUGCGUAGAUAUGUGGAGGAAUACCGAUGGCGAAGGCAGCCCCCUGGGAUAACACUGACGCUCAUGCACGAAAGCGUGGGGAGCAAACAGGAUUAGAUACCCUGGUAGUCCACGCCCUAAACGAUGUCUACUAGUUNUCGGGGACUUAAUUGUCUUGGUAACGCAGCUAACGCGUGAAGUAGACCGCCUGGGGAGUACGGUCGCAAGAUUAAAACUCAAAUGAAUUGACGGCUUGGAGAGAGCGAGGACGACGACGAGGGAGGAGG